AGUGAACGCUGGCGGCAGGCCUAACACAUGCAAGUCGAGCGGCUGCACAGUGCGUGCUCGUGGAUUCGGCGGGCGACGGGUGGGUGGUGGAUAAGAAUCUGCCUGUUUGUUUGGGCGAACGUGCGGAAGCAGGCGCUCAUACGCCAUUCCCGCUUACGACGUACGGGGGAGAGCUUCGGACCUCCCGAUCUCGGGUGAGCGUAUGUCGCGAUGUCGGAUUAGCUAGUUGGCGGGGUAAAGGCCCACCAAGGCGACGAUCCGUAGCUGGUCUGAGAGGAUGAUCAGCCACACUGGAACUGAGACACGGUCCAGACUCCUACGGGAGGCAGCAGUGGGGAAUAUUGGACAAUGGGCGAAAGCCUGAUCCAGCCAUGCCGCGUGUGUGAAGAAGGUCUUCGGAUUGUAAAGCCCUUUUGUUGGGAAGGAAGGGCAGUAGGUUAAUACCCCGCUGUUUUGACGGUACCCAAAGAAUAAGCACCGGCUAACUUCGUG
rnacentral:rRNA from 1 species